rnacentral:rRNA from 1 species
GAUGAACGCUGGCGGCGUGCCUAAUACAUGCAAGUCGAGCGAACAGACGAGGAGCUUGCUCCUCUGACGUUAGCGGCGGACGGGUGAGUAACACGUGGAUAACCUACCUAUAAGACUGGGAUAACUUCGGGAAACCGGAGCUAAUACCGGAUAAUAUAUUGAACCGCAUGGUUCAAUAGUGAAAGACGGUUUUGCUGUCACUUAUAGAUGGAUCCGCGCCGCAUUAGCUAGUUGGUAAGGUAACGGCUUACCAAGGCAACGAUGCGUAGCCGACCUGAGAGGGUGAUCGGCCACACUGGAGCUGGGACACGGACCAGACUACUACGGGAGGCAGCAGUAGGGAAUGUUCGGCAAUGGGCGAAAGCCUGACGGAGCGACGCCGCGUGAGUGAUGAAGGUGUUCGGAUCGUAAAACUCUGUUAUUAGGGAAGAACAAAUGUGUAAGUAACUAUGCACGUCUUGACGGUACCUAAUCAGAAAGCCACGGCUAACUACGUG